UACGAAGGGGGCGAGCGUUGUUCGGAAUUACUGGGCGUAAAGGGCGCGCAGGCGGCCUUAGAAGUCAGAUGUGAAAGCCCCGGGCUCAACCUGGGAAUGGCAUUUGAUACUCUGAGGCUGGAGUACGGGAGAGGAGAGUGGAAUUCCCAGUGUAGAGGUGAAAUUCGUAGAUAUUGGGAAGAACACCGGUGGCGAAGGCGGCAUCCUGGACCGGCAUUGACGCUGAGGCGCGAAAGCCAGGGGAGCAAACGGG
rnacentral:rRNA from 1 species